rnacentral:rRNA from 1 species
GACGUAGGGCGCGAGCGUUGUCCGGAUUUAUUGGGCGUAAAGAGCUCGUAGGCGGCUCAUUGCGUCAACCGUGAAAACCAGCAGCUCAACUGUUGGCUUGCGGUUGAUACGGGUGGGCUGGAGUUCGGUAGGGGAGACUGGAAUUCCUGGUGUAGCGGUGAAAUGCGCAGAUAUCAGGAGGAACACCGGUGGCGAAAGCGACUCUCUGGACGGCAACUGACGCUGAGGCACGAAAGCGUGGGGAGCAAACAGG